rnacentral:rRNA from 1 species
GACGAACGCUGGCGGCGUGCUUAACACAUGCAAGUCGAACGGAAAGGCCCUGCUCUUGUGGGGUGCUCGAGUGGCGAACGGGUGAGUAACACGUGAGUAACCUGCCCUUGACUUUGGGAUAACUUCAGGAAACUGGGGCUAAUACCGGAUAGGAGCUCCUGCUGCAUGGUGGGGGUUGGAAAGUUUGGGCGGUUGGGGCUGGACUGGCGGCUCAUCAGCUUGUUGGGGGGGUAGUGGCUUACCAAGGCUUGGACGGGUAGGCGGCCUGGGAGGGUGACCGGCGCCGUGGAGACUACGAGAGGGCGCAGCAGCGUAGGGGAGGCAACGGGGGGAAGUAUGACGAAGCGGGGGCGAGCGAGGGGGGAAGGCGCCGGGAGGGGGAAGCGCGCUUUUGGGGGGAGAACAAGUUCGGCAUGGACUGUGGGGGGCUUGACGGUAGCGGAUAAAAAAGCCCCGGCUAACUACGUG